CAUCACUAAAUGUCAACGUGCUUAGUCAUUUCCGUUCCAACUUUCUUUUCAUUUGUGUCGGCCGAUUCAGUUCGCUUAUCUGAAAAAAUUUUCUCUAAUUUCUUUUCGAAGAAAAAAGAAAGCUAUUUAACCAUGCCGCCCAGGAACGCCAACCAACGCAGGGCCCCACAGGCCAAGCCAAGUAAAUAUUUCCCAGGCAACCCACCUGGAGAUCGCAAGAAGCAAGAUAUUUAACCAUGCAGCCCAGAAACGAAAACGAACCGACCACUAUUUGUUUCAUAUGGGCAAGCAAACGCCAUAUUUUCAUUUGUUUGAUGAUGCUCCUAGUUUCGAUAGCGAUGUCGAUAUGGGACUUGGACGGAGUGGUCGCGGAUGACAUAGUAUACUUGAUACUGGGUUUAGUUGGACAGGAAAUAUCUUCUGGAACCCCUGGAGCACACUACUGAUGAUCUUGGCCGCCAUCUGGAGCCAUUCCAUGUACUAAAAGUACAUCGAGUGGCCGCAGAUGACGGAUAAGAUGAUCCGGACCUCGGAGCUGGUGAAGGAGUAUCAUUAAGCGCCAAUAUCAUCCAAGCUAGUAAAAUGCCGAAUACCAGUAGUAUGCUCCAAUGACUCCACGAGGUGUUUCCUGUCCACUUAACCGGUAGCAAGUGGACUAUGUCCUCCGCUACCAAACUUUCCAAGUUUCAUAUCGACAUAGUUACCGUUACAAGGACCAUCGUCAAGCAGACGACAAUGUGGCGUUUGUUCGCCAAUAAAAAACGAAAAACGGUCUAUGGUUUGUUGAAGAUCCUGGGCGGCAUGCUUAGUAAAGGUAUUCGCCCUGAUACCAUCACCCAGCACAGCUCCGAGGAAGAUUCCCUCUUUAACAACAUUCUCAGUCGGAAGUCGAACCAUAUUCUUGCUUCAACCGCCAGGACUUCGUAGGAUCCCUGGGCUAUUUCAAGAGUUUCCUGAUAACAGAUCCUGGAGGACUCGCGAACGUACCUACUUGGAGGGCCAUUCUGAAACUGAACAGAGCUGCGUUUAAAGAAAUAAUAAAUAUUAUAAUUGUGAUAUAAUAUAAUAUAA